UGGGGAAUCUUGCACAAUGGGGGAAACCCUGAUGCAGCGACGCCGCGUGAGCGAUGAAGCCCUCCGGGGUGUAAAGCUCUUUCGGCAGGAACGAUAAUGACGGUACCUGCAGAAGAAGCUGCGGCUAACUACGUGCCAGCAGCCGCGGUAAUACGUAGGCAGCAAGCGUUGUUCGGAAUUACUGGGCGUAAAGAGUGUGUAGGUGGUGUCGUAAGUUUGGUGUGAAAUCUCCCGGCUUAACUGGGAGGGUGCGCCGAAGACUGCGAUGCUGGAGUAUGGGAGAGGAAAGCGGAAUUCCUGGUGUAGCGGUGAAAAUGCGUAGAUAUCAGGAGGAACACCUGCGGUGUAGACGGCUUUUCUUGGACCAUUACUGACACUGAGACACGAAAGCGUGGGUAGCAAAACA
rnacentral:rRNA from 1 species